rnacentral:rRNA from 1 species
UGCGUAGGCGGGCAUUUAAGUCAGUGGUGAAAUACCUGAGCUUAACUUGGGAACUGCCAUUGAUACUAUUUGUCUUGAAUGUCGUGGAGGUUAGCGGAAUAUGUCAUGUAGCGGUGAAAUGCUUAGAUAUGACAUAGAACACCUAUUGCGAAGGCAGCUAACUACGCGAAAAUUGACGCUGAGGCACGAAAGCGUGGGGAUCAAACA